GGCUUCCCGGGACCGGGUGCCGUCCGGUGCAGCGUACGGUUUCGCCGCCGACGCAUUUGACUCCCUUCCGAGGGACGCCGCAGCCGAUUGGGUAGCUGCAAGCGCGACGGCCAGAGAGGAGGGAGCCGGCAGGUGGCCGGUGGCGGGACUCGUUCCUUCCGCCGGUUGUUAGCCUUCCCUUCGGUGGCCCGUCACCCGAUCGAGGUAUCACUAAGCCCUGUCGUGGGGCUUCUUCGACUCCUCCGUAGGAUGCGGGACAUACCGUUGCAGGCGUGGCCCCGUCGCAUGCCGCACUCCGAGCGAGUGGGCGAGCGUGAGGGACGCGUCGUUGGCGAUGGCGGGCCCGUGCGGAGAAUCGGAGGCUGGCGGCGAGUAGGUCGGUCACCCACCCGACCCGUCUUGAAACACGGACCAAGGAGUCUAACAUGUGCGCGAGUCGUCGGGUCUUGUUCAGGCCCGUAGGCGCAAUGAAAGCGAAGGCCUUCCUCGCGUUGGCCGAGUCGGGAUCCCUGGGCUCGUCCU
rnacentral:rRNA from 1 species